rnacentral:tRNA from 1 species
GAUCUUUAAAAAAUUGGAUUUGAAAUCUAACUUAGGUAAUAUACCAAAGAUCU